CGGGGGAGGCCGGUUCCUGGGCUGUGUCCCGGCGCCCUGUGCUCCCGGUCUGCGCUGUUGGAUUCGCGCUCCCGGCCCGCAGCCCCCU
rnacentral:pre_miRNA from 1 species